CCGCUCAGACCCCAGAUCCCUGUGGCGGGAGUUUCCUGCCCCCAGCGCCCGCACUUUCCAUGACACAAGAGGAAGUCGGCUGAGCCGGGGUUGGUUUUUCCAGGCCGCCCGGCCCGGGCCCCGGGGUGGAGGCCGAAGGUGGGGGUGGGGAGGGGGUUAGCACCCCCCAGGGCCCUGUCAGUACCGCCUCGGCCUCCGAGGGAGAGGUGGCUGCCUGCGCUGCCCGGUCCCACACCAGCCUGACUCACCUUCCUCCAAGGGGGGCAUCUGGAACCUGUUCUUCUGGACCUCCUCAUCUGUGAAGCGGUGCCGUUGGGAAUCUACAAGCAGAGGUGCUGGUGAGGAAGGAGGUGAGGAAGGCUCCUUAUCCUGGGAGCCGGGAGCAGAGGCUGAGGUUCUUUGAGAUUCGGGUUAGGGGGGUGUCCCUGAGGCUGAACAGGGUGGGAGGACAACCCCGGCUUCAGGAAGGGCUUAGUGUUUUUCUUCAGAUCCCAGGCUCACAUCCUAGUCCAGGCAGACCUUGAAUCUCGACCUGAAACCAGCACGGGAAUAGGCCACUUCUGGCCAAAACCCCUAGUGCCCUGUACCACCCUGCCUUGAGCUGCCCCUCCUGCUACAUAAGGAAAUAUUAACAGGCUUAGCUUCUCUUCUUGUGCCCAGGCAUCUCCGGGCAGGAAAAGGGCAGAUGCUGCCUCUUGCCUUCCCAGAGUGGAAGCCAAGGGUCUGGAAUCUUUGUAUCCUGGACAUCUCUGUUUCAGAAUCAAAGAGAGGCAGAUUCCUAGCAUCUCAAGGACUGCAGUGUCUAGAAUCGGGGAGACAGCUCUUUUGAACCUGUUACUACUGAGUUUUAGUCUCAGUGCCACAGGAUUUUGGACUCCUGGUCUUGCAGCUUACAUGCCUGGGCUCAGAAUCUCAGAUUCUAAGGACACUCAUCUCUGUGGCUCCCAAAGCCUGGCCCAGCGGAGCAGAAUCAUCCACAUGGCCCCCAGGUACCCUGGUUUGGCAGGUGGGGCAAAGAUGGCUGCUGUCCCCAACAUCCAUCCCCCACCUUCUGCAGUAGGAGAUCUCUGGCCAUUAUCUGGACACCCAGCUGCCCAGCACAGAGGCUUCCUCUCCCUGCCUCUCUUGCAGGUGCUGGCGGGUGGCAAGUGGGUGAGAUUCAUGUGGGCGUCCCCAGCAUCCUGCCUUACAGGGUAGGCCAUCCCUCGCCUUUCCAUCCUGCCAGCUGGCAUGUGGACGUGGUGGUGAGCCAUUCUGGGCCAUGCAAACAGGGCAACAUCUUAGGGACAGCAGAGUAGCCAGAAAGAAGGAGGCUGCCCCCCUCCAAUGUCUUCAGACCCUGUCAUUUGGAGUCUGUGUCCCACACAACCAGACUCUCAUCCUCGCUGAUUGAGUAGGUCCUGGGUGGAGCUAAGGAAAUUUUGAUGAACUCCCAUGGGAUUCUGCCACAGAUGUGAGAUUCUCUGCCCUCACUUGACCUCCUGGCAUUUCAUGGGCCCUGCCUGAGCGCUGUCUUUCCUCCUCCUCCAUCCCCAGCAGGCAGAGAGCAGAGCUGGAGAAGCUGGCUAAGAGACGCCGCCACGUCUAGGUGAAUGUCGAGGGACUGGUCUUGAGACCCUGCCUGGCCACAGACUAACACGAGAGCAAGGGAGACCACGUGGAAAUGCCUUGCGACCUCAGACAUCUGUGAAAACGUCAGUGCAGGACCACUGAGGGUCGGUCCGGCGGUCGCAGCGAGGGCAGUGCCCCCCUCAUCCGGCAGGGGUCCCCGGGAGGAGCCUA